GUUUUUCUAGAAUUGUUAUUUGGAUGGAUGCCUGUGAUGUAUGAUUUCUGUACCAUUCAAGCUGUCUGAAAUGGCUUACUCCAAAUAUGUUAUCACAGAUUAGUGCCCAGAGGUCAUCUGUUGGAAUGAAAACCAAAACACUAAAGCUACCAAAGCAUGGUGAGAUGCUUUUAUAUGUCCAUGGCUUGCCCCUUGGAGCUUACAACAAGGAUAACAUGGAAGCAAUACAUGAUUCAGAAGAAGGUUAACUGGUCUGGAGGAUUGUUAUAAUUACAAGUUACAUGCAACUGAUGGCUUAAACUCAAACAUUGCUUGUCAUCUCAAAGUUGGUUCAGAAUCCUCACUUCAAUAUUGUAGCACCCAUAAUUUGAAGCUAUCAUGUAAAUUUGUACAUUCUCACAUAUUGCUAACUAUGUACUAUCAUGCAAACAUAGUCGCAUCUUCUACGUAUCAAA